AAAUAAAACACUUAGAGUUCUUACUAAAAUGCAACUUCUGGUUCAUUUGAUCUCGGGGAGACUAAGAUCAUGCAUUUCUAACAAGCUUCUAGGUGAUGCUGGA
rnacentral:pre_miRNA from 1 species